UCCAUUCUUCUUUCUUCCUAUCUUCUGUUCUUCUUUCCCUCUCUGUCGAACUUGGUUCAUAAGAAUUAGGUUGCUUUCGUGUGAAAUAUUCAUAGAAACUUGUUAAUAAGUUGAAUCGAAAGUGGAAAUGUUAUUUCUGUGGUGGAAUUAGAUCGGGGGGAGAAGAAUAAGAUGAAGUAGAUGUUGAAUUGAGGUUAGGGUUCUUGUAGAACUGUUGAUGAUAAAGUGACGUUAUGGAACGAAGAAUCGAGGGGUCGUUAUUGAAUUGAAGAGGUGAAGUUUCUCUGGUGUUGGAUCGAACAGGAAAAGUUAGUCUACAUUAACAACGACCGAUUCAAAAGAUGAACAAGUGGAUUCUGGAUUUCAAGGUAGGAGGUGGUUUGCCUUCAAAACAGUUUCAGUAAUCAGAAGGAAUGAAGCGUGCGAAGAUAUACGUUUUCGUAGCUUAGUGCUCUACCGAAUAUAGUGUUGGCGUGUAUAUGUAUUAUAUGUAUUUUUUCCUUAUCCUGUAAAACAACACAUUUAUAUAUUUAUAUAACAUGAGAGACUUUCAAACA